CGGCUUAAAUCUCAGUCUCCCUGUCAACAGCAACCGCGGCACGCGUAGGAUGGGCCGGGGCCGGAGGAGGCGAGCGGGCGGGUGGGCCGGGGCCGGCGCCCCGGUGCGGCAUCCGCUGGGGCGGCAGGUGCCCGCCGGCCGCGGCCGCUGCGCCCGUCGGCCCCGGGAGCAGUAAGCACAUCUGUGACAAUGACCUUCUGGAGGGAGCCGCGCUCGCCCCUUGCCUCUCGUGCAGAAAGUCAAACAAGUCAAUGAGGAUAUUGGGAACUUAAAAAGAAAAAAGCGCAACAACAACAAAAGCCCUGUCUUUGUGUCUGGAUGAUUUCAGGGUUACUCGCAUCACCUAAAGGAAAACUUUGAUGGCUGGGGAGCCAACGUGCUUUUCCACCGGGAUGCGGACACUGGCUUUGUGAAGCGUGGGCACGAGUGGACAUGCAGGUCUCCACCUGAGGAGCCAGCGGUGUGUGGAGCCCCCCUGCCCAGUGUACCAGACCCUGUCAGCUCGGGGCUAUUCUGGGGUAGAGGAUUGCUUGCCUGUCUCAGUCAGCUGAGGCCGGGGGGUGCGAUUUUAAGCAGAACUGUUUCCUAUCUUAUUUAUUGAGAGGAGAGGGUUUUUCUUUCACAGCAUCAUAUGUUUUGAAGAAAGGAGGGAGGAAAGAGGGUGGUUAAAGCUAAAGAAGUCCUCUCUCUGAAGGAAAUGCCUCUUGCACUCCCCAGAUGACCUUUUCUGAAAAUGCAGCCUCUCCAGCUGCUCGAUUUUGAUUUUGACUACAAGGUGUGUGUAACUGAGCCCUAACUUUUCCACACACCCUAAUAUGUGUGCUUCUGGGAUUAGCAAUAUGGGACAUCUGUUUUCACCUCUCCUCUUGAGCCUGGCAGCAGUUUUUUCCAAAGUGACGGAGAGUCGAGGGAUCCUGGAGAGUAUACAGAGAUUUUCUUUACUGCCAACUUACUUGCCUGUGACCUAUCGUAUCCACAAUGCAGAUGUUUCCUUCUUUCUUAAGGAAGCUAAUCAGGAUAUUAUGAGGAAUUCUAGCUUGCAGUCCCGAGUGGAAUCCUUUCUGAUCUACAAAUCCAAGAGACCACCUGUGCUAAAUGCCAGCUAUGGACCUUUUUCCAUUGAACAAGUAGUGCCCCAGGACUUAAUGUGGGCUUCAAAUCCAUUUGGAUCUACUAACAAGUUCUCCUUUAAUUGGAAACUUAAGGCCUUCAUAAUGAAUGACAAAAUUUACCCAAGCAAGCCCAAAGUCCAGGUCCUAUUCUACAUUGUGGGCAGGGACUGGGAUGACUAUAACACCAUGGAACAGCUGCCCUGCCUGCGGGUGUUUGCCUUCAGAGAGACACGGGAAGUCAGAGGCAGCUGCAGAUUGCAAGGAGAUCUGGGGUUGUGUGUGGCAGAGCUGGAGCUCCUGCCAAGCUGGUUUAACCCCCCCACGGUUGUUGCUGGCCGUAAGAAAUCAAUGAAUCAGUCUGAAGGGAGCCCUGUGGAACUUUACUAUGCCAUACAGCCGGGACAUGAGAAAGGGGAAUGUACAAAGGAGGAUGUAAGGAAAAGUAAUGGGAUCCAACCAGGGCACAAUGACAUUGAUGAGUCAGGACCUCCCUUGCAGAGGAUUGGAAGUGUUUUUCUUUUCCAGACACGGGCUGGCCCUUCCUUAAGUGAAAUGAAAUUGGAUAAUAAUAUUGCCAUCCAGUAUGCACCAAAGACUGUCAAGCAAGGUGACAUUUUGACUUUCCUUGUAUCUGUUGCUAAAAAUUCAACAGAAGAUCAGUUCACACUGAGGGCAACGGUAAAGAAAGGUGUGAACAUUUUCAGUGUAAGAGCCAGCAGCCCAUACUUAUGGGACAUCAGAGAGAGUGUGGAUUAUACCAGGAAAUAUGCACCAGUUGUUAUUGUUUGCCAGAGGAAAUCUGCUGCCUCUGAAAACAGUGCGGAUGGUCCUUCCUCUGAAAUCAUGCAGAUUGAUUUUGAAAUUGAAGACCUAACUGACCUACCUGGGACCCAGCUCAUCACGUGGCAGGUAGAAUAUCUUGGAGAUACAACAUCUGAUCUAGGAAUCUCCAAGAUCUACGUAAACCAGAAGGACCUGGUAGGAGUUCUUCCUUUGGCUAUGGAAGCAGAGAUCCUGAAUACAGCUAUCCUAACUGGGAAAACAGUGGCUGUCCCUGUCAAAGUGAUCUCUGUGGAAGAUGAUGGGACUGUGACUGAUCUUCUGGAGUCUGUGGAAUGCAGAUCGUCAGAUGAAGAUGUCAUUAAGGUUUCUGACAGAUGUGACUAUGUCUUUGUCAAUGGGAAGGAAAUGAAAGGCAAAGUGAAUGUCAUAGUUAAUUUUACUUACCAGCAUCUGAGUGCCCCUUUAGAAAUGACAGUCUGGGUUCCUCGUCUCCCGCUGCAGAUAGAGGUCUCUGACACAGAACUAAAUCAGAUCAAGGGGUGGAGAGUCCCCAUCAUCUCUAAUAAGAGACCAGCCAGGGACAGUGAUGAUGAAGAAGAGGAUGAACGUAAGGGAAGAGGCUGUACCCUUCAGUACCAACAUGCAAUGGUGCGAGUCCUCACACAGUUUGUGGCUGAAGCCUCAGACCCCGGUGGCCAGCUGAGCUAUUUACUGGGUUCUGACUGGCAGAUUGACAUUACCAACCUGGUGAGUGACUUCAUGCAGGUGGAGGAGCCAAGAAUUGCUAAGCUGCAGGAUGGACAGGUUUUGAUUGGGCAGGAGCUCGGAAUGACGACGAUUCAGAUCUUGUCCCCCCUUUCAGAUGCUAUCUUGGCCGAGAAGACAGUGACAGUUCUGGAUGAGAAGGUGACAAUAACUGACCUGGGAGUGCAGCUGGUGACUGGAUUGUCGCUUUCCCUGCAGCUUAGUCCAGGAAGCAAUAAGGCCAUCUUUGCUACAGCAGUAGCACAAGAGCUGCUCCAGUCUCCAAAGCAGGAAGCAGCCAUGAGCUGCUGGAUCCAGUUCAGUGAUGGAUCCGUCAUGCCCCUGGAUAUUUUUGACUCCAAAGACUUCUCCUUGUCAGUUACAUCUCUGGAUGAGAAGGUGGUCUCCAUUCACCAUGACCCCAAGUUCAAGUGGCCUGUGAUUGCUGCUGAGACAGAAGGCCAGGGGACACUGGUGAAGGUAGAGAUGGUGAUCAGUGAGUCAUGCCAGAAAUCCAAAAGAAAGAGCAUCUUAGCUGUUGGAAGUGGUAGCAUUAGAGUCAAGUUUGGACAGAGUGAUGCUAACGCUAACAUCAGUGACAGUAAACACAGGGGUGCUGGUGUCCACCUAGAUAAUCGUGCCAGUGACUGGCAUCAAAAAAACAGUUUUCAGGAAAGACCUGGGCUAGAUGGCCAGUACUACAGCUCCUCAAUGGGCCUUGAGCAAGGCAAAGGAACCACCACUCAAAGGCCUAUUUUAAACAAAAAAGAAGACAGAGAAAGCCUCCUGGAUGACAACAGUCACCUGCAGAACAUCCCAAUAGACUUCACAAGUUUCCCUGCACAGGUGGAUCUGCCAAGAAACAAUGGAGAUUUUGAAGAGAAUGACCUAGUCCAGGCACCUAGGGGACUGAGCGAUCUGGAGAUAGGAAUGUAUGCUCUUCUGGGAGUCUUUUGCCUGGCAAUUCUGGUCUUCCUUAUCAAUUGUGUCACUUUUGCUUUGAAGUACAGAAACAAACAAGCUCCCUUUGAAGAGCAAGAAGGCAUGAGCCACUCUCAUGACUGGGUUGGGCUAAGCAACAGGACAGAACUUCUGGAGAAUCACGUGAAUUUCUCAACCCAACAGGAUGAACGUAUCACAGCCAUUGACAGAGGAGUGGACUACGAAGAGAGCAAAUAUCUCCUCAACACAAAUGCCCCCAAAAAUAUUAAUGGACAGUCUUUUAGGUCUACUGAGUCCACAUUUACUGAAGGGAAAGAACAGAAAAGUGAACCAACUACUUCUCCUACCUCUAAGAGGAAACGGGUUAAAUUCACCACCUUUACCACCAUCUCCUCUAAUGAUGGGUGUCCAACUGUCAACUCGAUCUUGAUGAGUAGUGAGGAUGACAUUAAAUGGGUCUGCCAGGAUAUGGACCUGGGGGAGUGCAAAGAGCUUAAAAACUAUAUGGAGAGAUUACAUGAAAAUGUGUAAUGAGACACAAAAGACCUUUUUGUUUGGUUGGUUUGUUUGUUUGUUUUUCACUCACCUUCUGCCUUUAAUUUCGGGUAGUGGGGCAAAACAUUGUAGUGAAAACAAGAAUCAGCUAGUGAAUACUAACUCAAUGGAGCCCCAAGAAGCCAUCCAAAAGCAGCUGGGAGAGCAGAGAUCCUGGACAGCUCUUAAAAGUCAAGUCUUCUGUGUGCUCAGAGUUGGAAGUGAGAGAUGUGUGUGGCUUUUUGAUGCAUGAUAACAUGGAAAAAAAACGCAACUUGGCAAAAUAAUAUGGUUGCAUUCUCUGAGCUUUCCCAGGAAAUCAAUAAAUAUAACAAACUCCAGUGCAGUUUGGAUAUUACAAAGUUCGCACAGCUCUACUGUUCAAUAUUGCAAGGUUUAGUUAAAAGCAAAAAUGGUGUCAGAAUAAAUAGAUCCAUGAAGAGAGCUUGUCACUCAAUCCAUAGGCAGAGAAUAUACCUCCAAGAACAUUAAUUUAAAGCUGACAAAACCCAACAGUGUGAGCAAAGAGCUCCCAGAGCUGAAAAGUCACGAGUUUCCAAAGAAUCUGGAGGGGGGGGAAAGGAGUAACAGGGCUGUUGACUAACCAGCAUGUUUGCCUCCCAAGCACUGAGUACAGAUACAUACACACAGUUAAGACUGAAACUCUCUUUUUAGGUAGAUGCCAAGGUAAUAAAUUUUGCCAGCCAAUUUUCAGUAUUUCAUAAUUUGUAAAAUAGGAGAAGAUGUAAUCUAGACUAAGAAUAUCACUCAUAUAAAGGAAGGUCUGUUCUGGAAAGUUUGAGAGAGCAAGCUAUUUUUAAAAGUCCACUUUGAUUGUCCUGUUUCAGAUUUGUAUUCCCAGCCAUUUCCCUGGAGCAAUACCCAUUUGGUAACCUGAGGGCACUUACGAGCAUCAGUCAACCUUGGAAGCAUGUGGUUUCCUCCUUCCCUUCCAUGCGCACUCGCUUCUCUACGGUGUGCUGUUGCCAAGCUCAGACACGUACCUCUCAUCAUGGCCUGGACUACUCCUGUGCAAGCUCAAGGACAAAGUGCAACAGUAAGGACAGCUGCAGCGCAGGGCCCAGACUAGCUCUGGAUGAGCGCUCAGGUGAGGGAAGCAUCCUUGGUGGUGUAUCAAAGCACUGCAGCCUCCCAGCAGUUUCAGCGGUGGUCUAGCCCCCUGUCUUGCCUCCAAAUCUGGAGCUCUUUUGGGUGUUUUUUACACAUCGCUACAUUGUGUUCACAGAGUUACCCUCAGCGAUGUGGAGGUCAGGGUAAAAGUGGCCAAAUCUCAGCUGGCAGUCUGUGCGGAUCAGAUGUGUGCAUGCAUGAAAGAUUGUCUUGCAAAAGCGUCCCUGCACGGCCAGUCUUUCUCCUUCAGAAAGAGCAGGCACAAGCCAUGCUGGGAGGAGGCUGUCAGAAUUGCUUUACCAGUGAGUUGCUAUGGUAAACCCAGAUUUCUGCAUUAGCUGCCUCUGGGGAACAUGAAUAACUAACAGCAAGUUCAUCUGGUAGCACAAUCCGCCGAAAUGAGCUAGGACAAAACAGCCACCAGCUACGAUGCUAAGGGUACUGACAUUCAGAUUCAUGCCUUUCUGCUUGCUCAGAGAUCCCUGCUGUCUUCCACAGCUGUAGCUUGCUAUUAUCCACGGAGCAGGACUAAUUAAUAGUAUGGAGUGAUCUUUGUCCAUAGAUCUCAAAGUGCUCUGAGCCAGGUGGAUUCCUUAUUGACAUGGAGAACACCAAGGUUAAGUGAUUUGCCCAAAGUUACAGAAAAUCUAUGGCAAAACCUGGGCAUAGAGACAUCACUUCUCCCCACCCCCCCUUUAAUGUUUCACAUUCACUGAGCAUCCUGAGCUCUAGCUCAAGGAGAAGCCAGAGUGGAUUGUGGCCAUCUGUAUGCAAGCAAACACUCUUAGCUAAUCUCCUAGUAGCACAAUAAAUCAACUUCCUAUAGAGAUUUUUUUAAUGUAUCUGUUGGGGUGUGGGUAUGUUCACUUUUUUCACAGUGCAAGGCCCAUAUUUUUGAGUGAGUUUCUGCAUCAUGGAGUAUCUCGGGAGGGAAAGAUUGUGUUUCAGGCAAUCAGAUGAGAUGCCCAUUUGGCACUUGAAGGGGGCUACAUUCUGUUCCCCUUCAUAAAAGCAGCGAUGGUGUUUAGAUGCUGCAUGUGUAUAACAUUUUGCUGCGGCUCCCAUUGGCAAUCU